rnacentral:tRNA from 1 species
GGAUUGUCACCCAGUGGUAGAGCACUUGCCUUGUACAUAUGAGGUCCUGAGUUCAAUCCUCAUCACCA